rnacentral:rRNA from 1 species
GACGAAGCUUGCUAACGUUAUUCGGAAUUACUGGGCUUAAAGGGUGCGUAGGCGGUGUAGCAAGUCGGGUGUGAAAUCCUGCAGCUCAACUGGAGAAUUGCGCCCGAAACUGCUGUGCUUGAGAAAGAUAGAGGUACGCGGAACUUAGGGUGGAGCGGUGAAAUGCGUUGAUAUCCUAAGGAACACCGGUGGCGAAAGCGGCGUACUGGGUCGUUUCUGACGCUGAGGCACGAAAGCCAGGGUAGCGAACGGG